AUUCUACUCCCUCCGUUGCACAAUACAUGCCUUCUAUUUGUCAAAAUAUAUAUGUAUCUAGACAUGUUUUAGUAUAUAGGUACAUCCAUUUUUGGACAAAUGGAAGUCAAGUAUUUUGGAACGGAGAGAGUAAACA
rfam:Triticum aestivum genome assembly, contig: Triticum_aestivum_CS42_TGACv1_scaffold_405914_5BL